CCUACGGGAGGCAGCAGUAGGGAAUAUUGCUCAAUGGGGGAAACCCUGAAGCAGCAACGCCGCGUGGAGGAUGAAGGUUUUAGGAUUGUAAACUCCUUUUGUGAGAGAAGAUAAUGACGGUAUCUCACGAAUAAGCACCGGCUAACUCCGUGCCAGCAGCCGCGGUAAUACGGAGGGUGCAAGCGUUACUCGGAAUCACUGGGGGUAAAGAGUGCGCAGGCGGGCUUGUAAGUCAGAUGUGAAAUCCUGUAGCUUAACUACAGAACUGCAUUUGAAACUAUGAGUCUAGAGUGUGGGAGAGGUAGGUGGAAUGCGUGGUGUAGGGGUAAAAUGCGUAGAUAUCAAGAGGAAUACUCAUUGCGAAGGCGACCUACUGGAACAUUACUGACGCUCAUGCACGAAAGCGUGGGGAGCAAACAGGAUUAGAUACCCCAGUAGUC
rnacentral:rRNA from 1 species